ACAAGAUGGGCAACCACGUCCACAGAUUGCUCCUCAGCAGCCUUGUUUUGGAACUCCAGGGACCCCUGUGGCUCGUACAUAUGGCAGUGGAGGAUCUGCAUACAAUGGAAUGCAGCAUGGACACUACCCAUCAAGCAGCUCUCAAAAUAUGAUGCAGCGAUCAGGUGGAAACAUGGUGCAAAACCGGUACC